GAUAGUAGAGGCGCAUUUUUCAAGAGUAUGUGCAGGUAGGCUGCGGGAGCCGUAACUGUGCGGAAAGGGGAAAAUGCCGAAGCAUAUGUCCGCCGCAGGGUGUUUGCUGGGCAGGCUGUGAAUAACAGUCUGACUGUCAUCAUUACAAAUGAUGGAGGGCUACUGC
rnacentral:ncRNA from 1 species